GUGAGGAAUAUUGGACAAUGGGCGCAAGCCUGAUCCAGCCAUGCCGCGUGUGUGAAGAAGGUCUUCGGAUUGUAAAGCACUUUAAGUUGGGAGGAAGGGCAGUAAGUUAAUACCUUGCUGUUUUGACGUUACCGACAGAAUAAGCACCGGCUAACUUCGUGCCAGCAGCCGCGGUAAUACGAAGGGUGCAAGCGUUAAUCGGAAUUACUGGGCGUAAAGCGCGCGUAGGUGGUUUUGUAAGUUGGAGGUGAAAUCCCCGGGCUCAACCUGGGAACUGCCUCCAAAACUGCAUGACUAGAGUACGGUAGAGGGUAGUGGAAUUUCCUGUGUAGCGGUGAAAUGCGUAGAUAUAGGAAGGAACACCAGUGGCGAAGGCGACUACCUGGACUGAUACUGACACUGAGGUGCGAAAGCGUGGGGAGCAAACAGGAUUAGAUACCCUAGUAGUCC
rnacentral:rRNA from 1 species